CUGGAAUGAUGAAAGUUAGCCAAAUCGUAUACUGACGUGCUCCUCCAGAUGUUAUUUUUGUCUGUGCACUUGGUGAAAAUUUCUUCUUUCCCAAGCACAAGAUGAGAUGCCUGGAGUUGAAGUUUGCAUCAGUAUGUGAUGAUAAAAACUGAGAUCGGUAACUUACUGACCAGA